GGCGCUUUGACGGAGUGGUUAACGUGCUGCCCUGCUACCACCCAGCAGCUUCAGGCAGUUCCUUCGGGAGCGUAGGUUCGAAUCCUGCAGGCGUCG
rnacentral:tRNA from 1 species